UAGGGAAUCUUCCGCAAUGGGCGAAAGCUUGACGGAGCAACGCCGCGUGAGUGAUGAAGGUCUUCGGAUCGUAAAACUCUGUUAUUAGGGAAGAACAAAUGUGUAAGUAACUAUGCACGUCUUGACGGUACCUAAUCAGAAAGCCACGGCUAACUACGUGCCAGCAGCCGCGGUAAUACGUAGGUGGCAAGCGUUAUCCGGAAUUAUUGGGCGUAAAGCGCGCGUAGGCGGUUUUUUAAGUCUGAUGUGAAAGCCCACGGCUCAACCGUGGGGGGUCAUUGGAAACUGGAAAACUUGAGUGCAGAAGAAGAAAGUUGAAUUCCAUGUGUAGCGGUGAAAUGCGCAGAGAUAUGGAGGAACACCAGUGGCGAAGGCGACUUUCUGGUCUGUAACUGACGCUGAUGUGCGAAAGCGUGGGGAUCAAACAGG
rnacentral:rRNA from 1 species